rnacentral:rRNA from 1 species
UACGUAGGGUGCAAGCGUUAAUCGGAAUUACUGGGCGUAAAGCGUGCGCAGGCGGUUUUGUAAGUCUGACGUGAAAUCCCCGGGCUCAACCUGGGAAUUGCGUUGGAGACUGCAAGGCUAGAAUCUGGCAGAGGGGGGUAGAAUUCCACGUGUAGCAGUGAAAUGCGUAGAGAUGUGGAGGAACACCGAUGGCGAAGGCAGCCCCCUGGGUCAAGAUUGACGCUUAUGCACGAAAGCGUGGGGAGCAAACAGG